GACGAACGCUGGCGGCGUGCUUAACACAUGCAAGUCGAACGAGACGAUUGAAAGCUUGCUUUCGAAAGUCGAGUGGCAAACGGGUGAGUAACGCGUAGACAACCUGCCUUUGAGAUGGGGACAACAGUUCGAAAGGACUGCUAAUACCGAAUGUUGUAUAUUUUCCACAUGGAAGAUAUAUUAAAGUUGGCCUCUAUUUAUAAGCUAUCGCUCAAAGAUGGGUCUGCGUCUGAUUAGCUGGUUGGUGGGGUAACGGCCUACCAAGGCGACGAUCAGUAGCCGGUCUGAGAGGAUGAACGGCCACAUUGGGACUGAGACACGGCCCAGACUCCUACGGGAGGCAGCAGUGGGGAAUCUUCCACAAUGGACGAAAGUCUGAUGGAGCAACGCCGCGUGAGUGAAGAAGGGUUUCGGCUCGUAAAGCUCUGUUGUCGGGGACGAAUGUGCAGUAUUUGAAUAAAGUACUGCAAUGACGGUACCUGACGAGGAAGCCACGGCUAACUACGUGCCAGCAGCAGCCGCAG
rnacentral:rRNA from 1 species